CUCUACUUUCUUCCUCUUUCUUUAAAGAAGAGGGAGAUAGCAAGGUAACAUCUCAUAACAGUUCUGGAAGAUCUCGAGAAAAUUUCAAAAAGAAAUUUUCUAUUUAAAAAAAAAUUCCCUUCCAAUUGGUUCCCACAAACCAAUCUCUAACUCAGAGAAUAUAAAUGUUUCAAGUGGUGGUGAUGCCUCAAUUUGGAGUUUUAGUAGAUACAAAGUCAUCAACGACGUUUCCCCUUGAGCUUCGUCUAAAAAUUGGGUGAAAAUGAAAUGGAGAUUGACUUGAGCGGCGGAGAAAUGCUCCAAAUGGUUUUGUGUUUAAUGUUCUUUUCCCACCUUUUCUUUUUCUUUUAAUCCUUUUUAUUAAUAUUUUCCUUUUCCUAUUUUAAUUACUUAACAAAUAUAUAUAUUUCCAUUUUCUUUUUUAUUUCUCCAAUUAAUAAAUUCCAAAAUUAAUAGAACAA